rnacentral:lncRNA from 13 species
AAAUAAUUACAAUUUAAUUCUCUGUGGAUUUGAGGGAAGCCUCAGANNNNNNNNNNGGGAGAGAGAGAGAGAGAGAGAGAGAGAGAGGAAACUGUGGAUGGGACGAUCAGGAUGUGGAGUAAAACUCCAAAGUACCACACUGUUCUCAAAGUUGGAAGAUGAAUGUUAUCACUAGCCAGUUCACAGAUGGAGAACAGUAAGAGAUAGAGAGGAGAAGAGAGAGCGAUAGAGAGAGGGAAAGAGGGAGGGGGAGGAGUCAGAGGGAAUGGAGGAAGAGAGAAAUAUUAGAGAGAGAGAGAGAGAGAGAGACUAACACACUAAGGUUGCCUGAGUACCACACUAAGAGACAGGGUCACACUGGUCUCACCAGGUACCCUUAUCUCCUUGGACCAGAGACCACUAAGCUGAUAAGUACAAUGAUAGCCAUCUAAGAAGGUUGAGUCGCUCUCUCUCUCCUGUGGGUCCACUAGUCUGCCAAUGUUACUGCUAUGUAUGAGUCCCGUCCAGAUACCAGUUUCCCAAUCAAUCAUGGCCAUAUCCAAGGGGGCAGCAGUCCAGUAAAACGUGUGCACAGUCUCCCUCCGAAAGCCCCUUUCCUCCUGACUAGAAAGUGUGUGAGUGUUGUCAACAUGCUGACUCAGAGCUCCUUCAGAAACCCUUGGAAUCCUUCUGGAAUCUCUGACAGGGGGAGAGGAGGGAAUUCUGUUCCGGACUUCCGGAACAAUGCAGAACUCCCCCAGAAUGAUGUGUUGGAGCCAGCAAGUCAGUCAGUCAGUGAGGCACCAUGCGUUGUAGCCCAGGGGGCGGGGAUAGUUAACGGAAGCCCCAUCAUGUGCUUGGUCGGGUUCUCCCCAGCCCGGGGGUUUCUGAGGCCCUGCUGUCUUGGGGUUACACUUCUUGGAACACAACUACCCAAGAUGGGCUACUUUUGUUCAAGAGUCCAGCAGAGUAUCUUAUCGGGGCGAUGGAUCUGCCUUACCCCCCCUCCGGGCCUGCCAAGCAGCAAAUAAAUCUGGCCCUGGAGAAGAAGACGCAACGCUGAGGUUCAACCUGGAGAACAUUUGUUUAGGGAGCAGAAGUAGUGAGUAUAGUCAUCACCAUUCUCUGCAGCUCUACCGGACUACUUCACAGUUUGACUGUUUUACUCUGCCUGACCAGGACCUGGGUUGCAGGAGGGAAAAUACAGCGACUCUUGUUCCUACCACUGACUAGCUGUGCUUCUGGGAUUCUCACUGUGUGUGUGCGUCCAUGCGUUCGUGCCUGCGGGUGUCCGACAACGUGUGCCUUUCACCAAGCAAACAGAACGCACAGAGAACUCCAGAACUCAGACCUGUAGCCAAGCUACACAUCAGUCGGUCUUCAGCCACAACACUUCAAGAGCUUCUAAUAGCUACAUACGGUAUGAGACAACUUACAGUAUAAGACGAUAUGAGUUAUGAGACAACUUACAGUAUAAGACGAUAUGAGUUAUGAGACAACUUACAGUAUAAGACGAUAUGAGUUAUGAGACAACUUACAGUAUAAGACGAUAUGAGUUAUGAGACUGCUUUGUACUUGACAAGAGCCAACUAAAUAUUUCAACUUUUACUGUAACUAAGAGCCUCUAACAUCAAUCCUACCGGUACACGAUGGACAUCCAACACCCUGGCAUAUAGCAGCAGUAUAUUUACACCUGAUCCAUGUCUAUUAAUGGAUCACACAAACUACUUCAACUAAAUAAUGUUCUGUUGUCACAUAAACUCUGGAUAGUCCAGUGAAAUGUGUUGUUUUACAGGGUCGGCCAUAGUAGUACGGAGAUUAGGGUUAAGUGCCUUGCUCAAGGGAACAUUGAUCAAUUUUUCACCUUGUCAGCUCGGGUAUUCAAACCAGCAACCUUUUGGUUACUGGCCCAAUGCUCUACCUGCUAGGCUACAGCGCUCCACAAGCUGUCCCCAACGUUUUGGUUACUGGCCCAAUGCUCUACCUGCUAGGCUACAGCACUCCACGAGCUGUCCCCAACAUUUUGGUUACUGGCCCAAUGCUCUACCUGCUAGGCUACAGCACUCCACAAGCUGUCCCCAACAUUUUGGUUACUGGCCCAAUGCUCUAGCUGCUAGGCUACAGCACUCCACGAGCUGUCCCCAACCUCUUGGUU